GCGUCACGCGGCAGCCUCGGGUCAGCCUGUGGAGAGAGAGCCCAGGUUACACUCACACGCAGUGCAUUGUGGGUAUGGUGGGGGGGUCAGGUUAAGUGGUUUGAUCCAGAUAUGAAGGGUUAUUGUGAGGGGAUCAGGUUAAGUGGUUUGAUCCAGAUAUGAAGGGUUAUUGUGGGGGGAUCAGGUCAAAUGGUUUGAUCCAGAUAUGAAGGGUUAUUGUGGGGGGGUCAGGUUAAGUGGUUUGAUCCAGAUAUGAAGGGUUAUUGUGGGGGGGUCAGGUCAAAUGGUUUGAUCCAGAUAUGAAGGGUUAUUGCGGGGGGAUCAGGUUAAGUGGUUUGAUCCAGAUUCCCGGUCAGGGUCCCUGUCCCGGUCCCAGUCCCAGUCCGGGUCCGGGUCCUGU
ensembl:lncRNA